rnacentral:rRNA from 1 species
UAUACAACUUUCAGCAACGGGAUCUCUUGGCUCUCGCAUCGAUGAANAACGCAACGAAAUGCGAUAAGUAAUGUGAAUUGCAGAAUUCAGUGAAUCAUCAUCCAAAUCUUUGGAACGCACCUUGCGCUCCUUGGGUAUUCCCGAAGANCAUGCCUGUUUGAAUUGUCAUUAAAUUCUCAACCCCAACCCUCUUAUUGUGGAAUGUUCCGUGGGCUUGGAUUGUGGA